GAACGCACCUUGCGCCCUUGGCAUUCCGAGGGGCACACCCGUUUGAGUGUCGUGAAAUCCUCAAAACCUCUUCUUUCGCGAAAAGGCGUUUUGGACUUGGAGGUUCGAUGCUCGCUUUCGCCUCUGAAAGCGAGCUCCUCUCAAAUGAAUCUAGUGGGGUCUGCUUUGCUGGUCCUUGACGUGAUAAGAUGUUUCUACGUUUUGGAUUUGGCGUCGACGAUGCCCCUGCUUCCAAUCGUCUCAUGGACAACGAUGGUGCUUCCGGUCACCGCCAUCUACAUCGGCGGGAGGCUGGACCCACGAAAAAACCUUGACCUCAAAUCGGGUGAGACUACCCGCUGAACUUAAGCAUAUCAAUAAGCGGAGGA
rnacentral:rRNA from 1 species